rnacentral:rRNA from 1 species
GUGAACGCUGGCGGUAGGCCUAACACAUGCAAGUCGAACGGCAGCACAGUAAGAGCUUGCUCUUACGGGUGGCGAGUGGCGGACGGGUGAGGAAUACAUCGGAAUCUACUUUUUCGUGGGGGAUAACGUAGGGAAACUUACGCUAAUACCACAUACGACCUACGGGUGAAAGCAGGGGAUCUUCGGACCUUGCGCGAUUGAAUGAGCCGAUGUCGGAUUAGCUAGUUGGCGGGGUAAAGGCCCACCAAGGCGACGAUCCGUAGCUGGUCUGAGAGGAUGAUCAGCCACACUGGAACUGAGACACGGUCCAGACUCCUACGGGAGGCAGCAGUGGGGAAUAUUGGACAAUGGGCGCAAGCCUGAUCCAGCCAUACCGCGUGGGUGAAGAAGGCCUUCGGGUUGUAAAGCCCUUUUGUUGGGAAAGAAAAGCAGCAGGUUAAUACCCCGCUGUUCUGACGGUACCCAAAGAAUAAGCACCGGCUAACUUCGUG